rnacentral:lncRNA from 1 species
AUUAACUAAUCAUGAGUGGGAUGCCUGAUGGGUUAAAUGGGAGUUUUUUCUUUACAACUAAGGAUAAGGAUGAAAACAGCUAGUUGAAACCCAAGAGUAAGGUAAUCUGUUCACGUUAAGAAACUAACAAAAUGGGGGUAGCAAGCGUGGGAGGGGCGAAUUCAUGGUUUAGGAUCUUUCUGCUUUCUUUGAUAGGAUUUGGGUUAGAAUAAUCUUGAUGCAAAUAAAAAGUGGAUGAGGAGUCUUUGAAUUUCAUUUUUAAGCCCUCAAUGCUCUGGGCAUCUGUUCAUCUUCAGCCUCAUCAGGUGAGGCUAGAACCUGACCUGCUUCCCAAGCUGUACCCAUCUGUGCCAGAAGUGAGUGCGUGACCAGCACAGUGGUGCUUUUCUCAGUCUCUCCUGGGGGUGGGUUUGGACAUGCAUGUUCUUUCUGGGAGAAACCAUGGACCAGUGUUGCAGUAUGGUGGAUAGGCAAUGCCAGCCUGCUCUAGAUCCCCAUGACCUGGCCCACAACUCCCAAGUUAGCAAGAAGAGCAGUGAGGCAGAGCAGAACAAGUACCAGACUUCAAGCCAUGCCACCUCGGUUCUCGACAGUCCUCUGUCAGCUCUCUGGGCCUCAGUUUCCUCAUCUGGAAAGUGAGGAGGACUAUGCAUUUUAACUAACGUUUACCACUUAGCACAUGCCAGACUCAACCUUGGACCCUGGGCACAAAUAAAAAUAAGACAUCGUUCUCGUCCUCCAAGGACUCAGGGGAGGAGCUGGGAGGAAUGUAGACAAACUUGUAACCAGAUAAUGAUAUUGCAACUUGGUAAGUUCUUAACCCAGGUAUAAACAGAAAGCUGUCGAAACCCAGAGGGAGAACCAGUUAGAUUUCAGAUCACUUCGGCAAAGCCACAAAGAGCACAGGCUUUGAAGCCAGAGCACUUGGGCAAGAUCUGGCUUCCCCCUUACUAGCUGUGUGACUUGGGACAAAUUACUUAAGCUCUCUAUGCCUCAGUUCCUCAUUUUUCAAAUGGAGGUGAUAGUAGUGCCUACCCCCUUGGAUUGUUCAAGUGAUUAGGACAGUGCCUGGCAUGUAAUGAGUCCUACAUAUAUUAUGCUAAUGUUACAGAAUUCCCAGAAGUCCAUGAGGCUGAAAAGGAGCUAGUGAAUGGAAGGGAAUCCUUAAUUGAAAAAAACAAAUCUAGCUGUGUUUUAGAGAGAAUAAAGACAAGCAUAUAUUUUGUGCUUAUUAGGUGUCAGAUGGUUCACUAAAAUCCCCACCUGCCACCCCCCCUUGGAUGCCCAUAAGUCAGUGUCCAGGCUGCAAGCAGGAGCAUUUGGCAUGGUUAGGAGUACAUGGCAUGCUUAGGGGUGUUCUGCAUUAGGACUAGGGAAGGACCACUGUUUGAUCUGCAACAGCUCCCAAAGAACACACACGGAUAAACUAACCAUCCCCUUGCCAGCCUAGCUAGGUCAGACGGUGGAAGCAAAGUCUGGGGCAGGAACAUUUUCGGGCCUCGUUGAUUCCUGCCUCUAAGAGGGCAAAUAAGCAGGUGGGUGGGUCUUUUAGCUUGGGGAAGGCAAAACUUGGGCAGAACUUGGACCUGGCAGGAAUGAAGGCUGUUGGGCUGGCUGGGUGUUAGCUGACUCAGGCCAGGUGAGGGCAACUGUGGGCUGUUUGGGAAAGCCCUUCUGGGAAAUGCAAGUCAAAGAGAUGGGGUAGAGAGACUCAGGAGGCUGGGCAGGGGUGUUUAUGAGCAAUGCGAGAGGAAGGAGAUCACAUGAGGCCCUGGAAAUACAACAUUGAGUAGGACAGGAAAACAAGUCACAUGAGCACACACCUGAGAUGGCCAGAGUCACGGAAACAGGGGUGCGCUGGGAAAUAAUCAACAACAAGCUCUCAUGGGGCAGGAAGAGCCACAGAAUUUGCUGAUUUCCCAAGUGUAGAUACCACCACUGUAGCUAACUUCAAUCUAUCAAUGUGAUGUCACUAAAGUGCCCGUGAAACAUUAUUUCCACCGUACAGAUACGAUAGAGUUACAGAUGGCCUCAAGUGCCUUGAUAAUAGUAAAAUGUAGGAAAAGAAUUAGAAAGUGAUGAGUUCUGGGUAUUUAUUACCUUUGUUUUGAAUAGAGUUUUUAAGUUAUAAAUUUAUAUAAUUUAAUUUUAAAUAAUAACCAUGGUUUGUAAUUGGCUUACAAAGUUCCUGAUGAUUGAACCAUCAGCCUGAGGAAGUUGGAGUAAGCUGGCUCCAAAGUGCUACUACUUGGGAAUCUUACUGAAUUCCUUGGAGCCUCAAUUUUCUCAAUGUUAAAAUGGGAUCUUUUUCUCAUCAAAAUAAUCAUAACUGGAUCACAGGGUUCUUGUGACGGUCAGAAAAGUAUGUAAAAGCAUUUCAAAAACUGUAAGCAGCAUAUAAAUAUUAUAUACAAAUACAAUUUAUUCUCAUGGGUACAGUAACUUAGUGGUCAAAAGGGUAGUGUCUGGAGCCUGGAUCUGCCAAUCCUGGCUCUGCUUUUGUUUAGUUGUGUGACAUGGGCAGAUCUUUACUGUUUUGGGGCCUUAAUUUCCUCACCUAUGGAGUUUCUGUGAGGCUUAAGUGAAUUAAUAUUAUAAAGCACUCCUACCAGUGUGUGGCACAUGGUGAUCACCAUUUAAGUAUGGACUAAAAUUGUUUAUCAACCUGAAGAGCAGUCAGCUUGCAGUUCUUCCAGAACCAGAAGGUCUUUUAACUGAGAAAUCCAAGAUCCUGGCCUCCUCACGGCUUGGAUUAAAGGGCCAGUUCCCCUCUAAGCUAACUGACUUGCUCUGUGCUACUGGCCAGUGCUUUUUAAAUAAUGAACCCCGAAGCCUAAUUGCGGAGAUAAAGAUGCUGCUAGAAUCAGAUUCCACAGCCACUCACCAUAGUAGCAGGGGGUAAAAGAGCUAUCUUAUUACAUGCCUGGCUGGCUCAAUUACUUCAGUCCUGACAUAGACAGACGCUGGAGCCAGCCCAGGGCAGAGCCCUGGAGUUGGAGGGGUGGCUAGCUGCCCCACGGACCCUGGUCUCAUUUACCAUCUCUGUCACUAUAGUCCCCUGGGCUGGGCAAGGGUAAGAGAGUAGCCAGAUAGGAUAAGAGAGAUGGAGAAGGACAAUUUGAGGCAGGAGAUAGGAGUCAUGGCUCAUGGCUGCCAUAGUAGCCACAGAGUGGCUCAAGGAAUUCAGGGUUCUCAGGCAGAGUCAGAGACAGGUUUGAGGAAGGCGUGUGGGAAGGUGGUCAGGAUCUCCUCACCAGGGAUGAUGAAUUCACGUGCCAUGACAGACAGAUGAGAAUAGAAAGACAGGAGCAAAAAAAGCCUUGGUCUGCAAGGUAGAAAAACCAAGGCAGGUUGGUAGGGCAAGGUUUUUCAAACUAAGGAAUUGCAUCCACUAGAGAGUCCUGAAUUCCACGUAGUGGGACCAUCAUGUUCUUUUUCUCAACAAACUUGAAUAAAAUCCUGUGACAUAGACUGUGAAUAUAGAUUGAUGUCCAUCAAUCCCAUUUCCUCUUUUUGGGUGCUCAGACCAUGUUUCCCUGUGGCCCUUGCAGCUGGAGACACGUGACUAGUUUCUGGCCAGCAGAGUACAGGCAAAAGUGGUAGAAGCCACUUACAAGCCUAACUAUAAAUCCUCCCGAGUGAUUCUCUCCUAUCCUCUCCCUUCCCCUCCGUUUCCCUCUCCUUUCAUCCCCUCCCAUCUCCUCCCUUUCCCUCUAUCCUCCCUGUCCCCAUUUAUGCCAUGAUCCUGUGUUGAAGAUGGUGGCACCAUGAUAUAGAAAGAGCCUGGAGCCCUAGAGGAGGAAGAAGGCCAUUGAGCAGAGCUUCCUAAUAAGGAUCAGGCUACAACAUGAACAAGAAAUACACUUUUGUUAAAUCACUGAGAUUUAGGGGCUGUUUGUUUCAGCAGCUAGCAAGCAUUGCCCUGACUAAUAACUACAACAAUAAAAUGGAAUGGGGUGGAAGGGAGGGAACAUAAUGGAAUAUAUUCAAUUAAACUAGAGUAGAAUAGAACAGAACAAAAACUAUCAAAGUGCAUUGCAGGUAGUGAAAAAUAAAUAUUGUUUGAUGAAGCAUUUGUUUCAGUUCAGUUCAUAUGGAUACUCGUUUUUAAUAUGAAUUUUAUUUUUUUUGCUGGAGGUGGAGGUGGAAAGUUUUGAAAAUCACUGCCUUAUAGCUGGAGGGAGGGUUGGGGGUGUGAAUCAUGAGAAAGCUUUAGGUAAAAUGGGGAUGCAUAUCUACAACCCUUUAAGAAGCAAGCUAUGCACUUGCUAGCCAUCCCUACCUUGUAGAUGUUUGUCAUGGAAGUUUGUCGAUUGUGGCUGUUCAAUCCACCUUCCCUUCCUUUGGUAACACCAUCCCAGUCUUAGUCUAUAUAGUUUGUCUGGAGCUAACUCUGUCCGUUGGAAUCAAGGAGGAGGACACACAUAUGAAGCCUAGAAAAUCAAAGUGUUCCAUUCCUAGAGCCAUAGUGAUUCAGUGAUUGGUUUAGGAAUGAACACCUGACCCAAGUUGGUCCAGUCAAACUGGGACUUUGGCUGGAGUUGUCAUAAAAAUAAGUGUUUUAGUUCCCCUGGUUUUGGAGUUGUGAGGAUAUAAAUCUGAAGCUGCUGGCAGCCAUCUUGCUAUUAUAGGAGAGAAUGUGCUUAAGAAUAGCACCAUCAUUGAAGAAGGCAGAGCGAGGAGAUGGAACAAAACCAAGUCCUGCUGACAUCAUUUGAACUCCUGGAUUUAGCCAUGCCUGAAGUCAUCCUUGUAGUUUUUAAUUGAUUCUAUACUUUCACCUCUUUGCUUCUUCCCAUUUGAGUUGGGUUUUUGACAGUUGUAACUGAAAGGGUCCUGAGGCUGUGUCUUCUACAUCUUUAAGAUGUCUUUUUUUUUUUUUUUUUUUGGUAAAAUGGGCCUCAGAAAAAGUGGAAAACAGCUGGUCCUCAGGAUCCUCCAGCCUUUGCCAAGGAAAAGUGGUUUUAAUCACUGAAGAAUGAGGCUUCAACAUAUGGAAAGACUGUAAGUGUCUUGACACUGAAAUUUUCUCUUGUAGGUGUUCCUGGACAGCAAGUGAGUGACUUGCUCACAGGCGGUAAUUCAGGGACCCAGGUUUCUUCUACCUGGUAGCUCUACUGUCCUUCAGAACCUCAGAGCCCUGUGCAUUCAGCCAGCAGGAGAAAGACCACUACUAAGGUCAUUCACUUUGGGAGAAGCCAGUCUUCAUGCCAUGAGGACGUUCAGGCAGCCCUGUGGAGAGAACCACAUGGAAAGGAUCUGAGGUCUCUCACCAGCACCAAUUUGCCAGCUAUGGGAAUGGGCCACCUUGGAAGGAGACUGUCCAGCCCAAGUGAAGGCUGCAGAUAACUGCAGCUUUGGCCAACAUUUGGCUAUAUUGCUUUGGGAAAUCUCAAGCCAGAACCAUCUGGCCAAGCUGCUCUUAAAUUCCUGAUCCACAGAAGUUUUGGAAGGCCCUCUUGUGUGAUCCAGAGAGGUUGCAACAUUUUUUGAGUCAGGUAACAAGACACACAAUUCUUACAGAUCCCUCAAGAGCUGUUUGAAAAAUAGUGGAUUUUAAAAUCUAGAAGGAGUGUGAAAGGAACCCAGGGGCUUUGCCAAUGGAGUGUCAUCAUUCAGGCCCCAUUUUGAAUCUAAACCAUCUGAUGAACCCUUUGCUGACACAUCAGCCUAUUGCUUCCUGGAAGAAUAAUUUGCACUUCAAGACUAAUUCUGAAACAAUACAAUUGCAAGGAGGAAACACAUUUGGAGUAGAGAAAUUAUAUAUGUAUAUAAAACUUAUUAUCUAACCAGGACAUAUUUGAGGGAGCUGGGUGGUAGCUAAUGAAGGAGAAAAGUGGGAAAUGGAAGAAAAACCACACAGAAGAAGGGUUGCCUAGUGAGCUGGAGCUGAAGACAACAAAGACCCAAAGGACACCGGGAGAUGCCAAAGGUUUGUUCUCAACUGUAUCCACCCCAUGUCAUCUCUAGGCUCCUUUGCACAGGGCUACAGGCUUACCUUGGUGCCUCACUGAUGGCUACAUCAAUUUCAAAUAAUGAUUUGAAUCAUUGAAAGAGCUUCUUUGGACUGUUUCCCAAGUCUUCACCUUUGCCUUUCAUCUCCUCUUUCAUCUACCUCUCCAAAGGUUCCCAUAGAUGGUCUUCAGUUUCACCCACAUUGAUUUUGCUUCAUGCAGAAAUAUGCCCAGGAAACUCUCUCAGAGCAGAGCUGAGCUGGCCGGUGCUCAAUGGUGUGUGUGUGUGUGUGUGCACGCGUGUGUGUGUGUGUAUGUGUGUGUGUGCCCUCACCACAUAAUUCUCUUGCCUGAUGUAGAAUCAGUGACACACUAAUUGCAUUUAUAUUCAGAGAAAGAAAAAAAGAAGAAAAUUCAAUGUGAUCCUAUUAUAAACCAUUUUUAAACAUUGAAAUUUCCCCCUUAGUGAUGCACUUCCAGGGCGGGUUAAUUUGGAGCCUUUUUGAGUCAAAUCUGUAAGCAGAAAAUUUCUCACUCCUGGGUUGAAGGCCAUCACGGACCAACUUGCUGCCUGAAAAUCUGCAGAUUCUCCCAUCAAAUUGGCACAGGCUCUGAGCAGACUUGAGGGUUUCCAUGCUAUCACUUUUUAGGAAAACUUGAAUAAUGGAAGACCAAAGCUCAGAUUCCAUUUGUUUGCCUCUGUCUUCUUUUCCAAGAGGAAUGCUGGCCCAUGCUCCUCACCAAAAUUUAAUCCCCCAAGAAGCACUUCUUUCAUUACUUCUGUUUGGAAAGAGCAGCAUAUAAAUAGACUUUAAACCACUUAAAUACAUUCAUGAGCUCUUACAUGUGCUUUCCGCAUCCAUCUCUCCCCCUGCCUCGCACCACACCAUAGAGUAUACUGAUGACAGAUUAAGCAGUUCCAAAUUAAAGUUUCCAUCAUGCCAUGUCACAACUCAGACACAUUUGAUGACUCCCAUUUGCCUAUAGGAUAGAUUCCCAAGUCCUUUCCAUUCUUUUCUCUCGCUCUUCUGUUAUACAAUCCCUUCAUUUCAGAAUCCUCCUAAACAGGUCUUCCUCUUUUCGCCACCUUAUUCCUCUUAACGUCUUCCUCAUCUUAACCCUUCACGUAGGUCUCCCUUCUACAUAUCUAAAAUCCUUCAGAGAAGUGGUUGGUUCUCAAAGUGUGGUCUCCAGAUCACCAGCAUGAGCAUCACCUGGGAACUUGUUAGAAAUGCAAAUGCUCAGGCCCCACUCCAGACCCGCUGGCUCAGAAACUCUGGUGAUGAGAACCCGCAAUCCAAUUUAACAGUCCCUGCAGGUUUGAUGAUCCAUUUUAGCUCAGAUCUCACCUCUUUCUGGAUGCUUCCCUGAUCCCCACAGCUUUUGUCCAGGCUCUUAAGAUGCUUCCAUGUUUGCUUAUCUUAUUUGGCAAUCACCACGUGCAGCUUUGCUUACAGUUAGCUACCUUGUAAGAAAGCCAAGGAUGAUUUCCACCCCUUCUCUCUUCCUUCAUUCUCUCUUUCCCUUACUCCCUUCUUCUACCCUUCCUCUUCCCUCUCCCUUCUCUCCCCUCUCCUUUCCUCCUUCCCUCACCCUUCCUUCUCCCUUCUCUCUGUCUCCCUCCCUCCCUUCUCCUUUCCUCUCUUCCUCCUUCCCACUCUCCCUCCCUCUUUCCCUACUCUUUUCCUCUCUCUCCCUCCCUCCAUCCUUCUCUCCCUUCUCUUUUCCUUUCUCCCUCCCUCCCCUCUCUUUUCUUCUCUGCUUCCCUCCCUUCCAUCUUGCCCAAUCCACCAAAGCCCUAGCACAGCUACUCAGCAAUUGUUGAUUGGCUGUGGUUAGGUGACUAAACAUAACUCAUAUGUGUUGGUAGUACCUUUCCAGCCUUGAAGUCUGCAAGAAGGAUACGUCGUUCCAAAAUUUGUCCUCUAGCUCUCAUGUCUCAAACAGAAUACCAGCAUUGAUGGCUCAUGAUCCUAUCUCUAGCACUUCUUGAGUUUUAAUAUUCUGGAGACACUAUAAAUGAUUGAUACAGGCUACUGAUGUGCUAAUUAUUAAUGACUAAAGCAGGUCCCAGAAAAAUCAUGAUUUAGCAAACUUUGUUGGCUCAGUCAGGCUACUUAAGACAAAGGGCACUAAAUGGCAAGCCAAAAAAAUCAAUGUGACCAAAUAGUAAUUCCUUAUGGCUGCCCACCUACCCCCACCCCACUCCCUGGGAAAACAACCCUUUUCAACAUGGAGAACAUCACAGCCAAAAAUCAUGAGAUAUACCUCAUCCUCUCUCAGAGUCCACCAGUGAAAUAAAGGCUGCACACUGGAUCAUCAGAGCCUCUUCCUUUCAAUACCAUCUAUUUGUAUUAUUUCCUCUCCUCUUUACCCAUCAUGAACCCCACAUUUUGACAUUUUCAUCUAUAAGGCAAUUUGCUCUUCAAUGCCAUGAUGUCCAAAGAGAAGUUAAAGAAGCAACCAGGGGCCAGGUGCAGUGGCUCAUACCUGUAAUCUCAAUGCUUUAGGAAGCUGGCCCGGGAGGGUUGCUUAAGGCCCGACGUUCAAGACCAGCCUGGGCAACAGAGUGAGAUCCCUUCUCUACAAAAAAAUUGACAAUUAGCCAAGUGUAGUGGCAUGUGCCAUACUCCCAGCUACUCAGGAAGCUGAGACUGGAGAAUUGCUUGAGCCCAGGAGUUGGAGGCUGCAGUGAGCUGUGAUCACGCCACUGCAUUCCAGCGUGGGUGACAGAGCAAGAUCCCAUCUCAAAAAAAAAAAAAAAAGCAACCAGGUUGCUAGAUAUCUUGUGAGAGCAGAGGGAGAGAAUCCAUUGUAAGACUCCUCUGGGGAAAAAGGGGUUUAUGGUUUCUAUUCCAUGGUUCUCUGGCCUACAAUGUUUCAACAGGAUUUGGAGUUAGUGCUCACAAACCAUUUUGAGAUUCCAGCCCCCUUUAGAGGAGUGAACUCCAAAAUGUUUUUGAUCCAGGCACCUAUAUCAAUAAAAAAAUACUUUGAGCAUGUACCACCAACACAGAUAUAUUUGUUUCUUAAUUGUAUUUGUGCACUACUAUUCUGAUGUAUUAUAUGCAUAAUGAAACACAUACACUAAAAUACAUUUUGAAAGGAUGGGGGAAAUAUAAAAUGAACAUUUUUAAAGUACUUUCCAAUCGUGAUGUCUUCCUGUUAUCAUUUGCUAAUAGCUCAACAAAAAAUAUGCGUCACAGAGAACUUCAUUGCACUGGCAGACACUGUCAGGAGUCAACCUGUAUUGUCUUGGUCCACCCUAGCAGGCAUCUGUAGGGUUCCUGUACAAGCAACAGCUCACGUGUUUCUCUGCAUGAAAGCAUUCUCUAACUAUUAAAGUGUGACUAGUGCGGACCUCUUUUUUUGGCUUUGGAGCCCCCCUCCCUCUGUCUCUGUAUGGGGGAGCUUCUUCCUUCUGUCUUCUCCCUUCUUUCUUGCCUAUUAAACUCUCUGCUCCUUAAAACAAACAAACAAAAAAAGUGUGACUAGUAUGAACGAGUCCUGCAUACUAGUGUGACUAGCAUGUACGAGGCCUGCAGUACUAGGGCCCCAACACCCCAGGAAUGACUCUCAACCAAUGAGGGAUGGGAGUCAGUAGAUAAAUGCCCCAACUUCCUUGCACCUCAGAGGGUGAUAUGGUUUGGCAGUGUCCCCACACAAAUUGCAUCUUGAAUUGUAAUAAUCCCCAUGUGUCAAGGGAAGGGCCAGGUGGAGAUAAUUGAAUCAUGAGGGUGGUUUCCCCAUACUGUUCUCAUAGUAGUGAAUAAGUCUCAAGAGGUCUGAUGGUUUUAUAAAUGGGAGUUCCCCUGCAAAAGCUCUCUUGCCUGCCACCAUGUAAGACGUGACUUUGUUCCUCCUUCACCUUCCACCAUGAUUGUGAGGACUCCCCAGCCAUGUGGAACUGUGAGUCCAUUAAAUCUCUUUUUCUUUAUAAAUUACCCAGUCUUGGAUAUGUCUGUAUUAGCAGCAUGAGAACAGACUAAUACAGAGGGA